GUCUACGGCCAAGCCCUGAAUGUGCCUGAUCCCGUCUGAUCCUGGAAGCUAAUCAGGGUCAGGCCUGGUUAGUACUUGGUGGGAGACCACCUAGGAAUACCAAAUGCUGUAGGUG
rnacentral:rRNA from 1 species